AGACCCGAAACCCGGUGAUCUAGCCAUGGGCAGGUUGAAGGUUGGGUAACACUAACUGGAGGACCGAACCGACUAAUGUUGAAAAAUUAGCGGAUGACCUGUGGCUGGGGGUGAAAGGCCAAUCAAACCGGGAGAUAGCUGGUUCUCCCCGAAAGCUAUUUAGGUAGCGCCUCGUGAAUUCAUCUCCGGGGGUAGAGCACUGUUUCGGCUAGGGGGCCAUCCCGGCUUACCAACCCGAUGCAAACUGCGAAUACCGGAGAAUGUUAUCACGGGAGACACACGGCGGGUGCUAACGUCCGUCGUGAAGAGGGAAACAACCCAGACCGCCAGCUAAGGUCCCAAAGUCAUGGUUAAGUGGGAAACGAUGUGGGAAGGCCCAGACAGCCAGGAUGUUGGCUUAGAAGCAGCCAUCAUUUAAAGAAAGCGUAAUAGCUCACUGGUCGAGUCGGCCUGCGCGGAAGAUGUAACGGGGCUAAACCAUGCACCGAAGCUGCGGCAGCGAACGUAUCACUUAAAGCGAUUCAGCGGGUUACGAUUGACGGAGCGAAGCGACGUCAAAGCGUAUACAAAGUCGAGUCGGUUUAAGGAUACGUUCGUUGGGUAGGGGAGCGUUCUGUAAGCCUGUGAAGGUGGCCUGUGAGGGUUGCUGG
rnacentral:rRNA from 1 species